rnacentral:rRNA from 1 species
AGCCUAACACAUGCAAGUCGAACGGUAGCACAGAGAGCUUGCUCUUGGGUGACGAGUGGCGGACGGGUGAGUAAUGUCUGGGAAACUGCCCGAUGGAGGGGGAUAACUACUGGAAACGGUAGCUAAUACCGCAUAGCGUCUUCGGACCAAAGUGGGGGACCUUCGGGCCUCACACCAUCGGAUGUGCCCAGAUGGGAUUAGCUAGUAGGUGGGGUAAUGGCUCACCUAGGCGACGAUCCCUAGCUGGUCUGAGAGGAUGACCAGCCACACUGGAACUGAGACACGGUCCAGACUCCUACGGGAGGCAGCAGUGGGGAAUAUUGCACAAUGGGCGCAAGCCUGAUGCAGCCAUGCCGCGUGUAUGAAGAAGGCCUUCGGGUNUGUAAAGUACUUUCAGCGGGGAGGAAGGCGGUGGAGUUAAUAGCUUCAUCGAUUGACGUUACCCGCAGAAGAAG